GACGAACGCUGGCGGCGUGCUUAACACAUGCAAGUGGAGCGACGAACCGGGCUUCGGCCCGGGGCAAAGCCGCGAACGGGUGAGUAACACGUGGGUAACCUGCCCCAAAGACCGGGACAACCCGAGGAAACUCGGGCUAAUACCGGAUGUGUUCACUGUCCACAAGGACAGUGAGGAAAGGAAGCUUCGGCCUCCGCUUUGGGAUGGGCCCGCGGCCCAUUAGCUUGUUGGUGAGGUAACGGCUCACCAAGGCUGCGAUGGGUAGCUGGUCUGAGAGGACGAUGCGCCACACUGGGACUGAGACACGGCCCAGACUCCUACGGGAGGCAGCAGUGGGGAAUCUUGCGCAAUGCGCGACAGCGUGACGCAGCAACGCCGCGUGGGGGAAGAAGGCCUUCGGGUUGUAAACCUCUUUCAGGAGGGGCGAAGCUCCGGCAGCGAAUAGCUGUCCGGAGUGACGGUACCUCCACAAGAAGCCCCGGCUAACUACGUGCCAGCCGCCGCGGUAA
rnacentral:rRNA from 1 species